GCGCAUGUGGUGAAAUGGUAUCAUGGUUGCCUCCCACGCAUCUGGCCCGGGUUCGAUUCCCGGCAUGCGCA
rnacentral:tRNA from 1 species